UGAGGAUGCCACAUCCACUUGACUUUUGAGGCAAGGGCCUUUUCGAUUAGGUCUGAUUUUUUUGAAAAAAAAUCAGAUUAAAAGGUAAGGGACCUUAUGAGAUAAGAUUUAAUCUUUUUAGCCUGAUUGGAUAAUGAUUUGGAAUUAAGAAAGGUCUAUUUAAAGAGAUGGUCUCCUAAGAUUUAAAAAAUAAUUGAAUUUUAAGAAUUCAAAACUCUUUCUCUCUUCUCUCCAUGCCUCACCCUCUCUCCCUCCUCUCUUUUCCACACCCAAGGGUUGGGCAUCCAUCAUCCACAUGCUUG
rnacentral:lncRNA from 1 species